UGGCUGAGACAGUAAAGCAUCUGCCUACAAUGCGGGAAACCCAGGUUCAAUCCCUGG
rnacentral:tRNA from 1 species